GCUCAGGAUGAACGCUGGCGGCGUGCCUAAUACAUGCAAGUCGAGCGAACAGAUAAGGAGCUUGCUCCUUUGACGUUAGCGGCGGACGGGUGAGUAACACGUGGGUAACCUACCUAUAAGACUGGAAUAACUCCGGGAAACCGGGGCUAAUGCCGGAUAACAUGUUGAACCGCAUGGUUCUACAGUGAAAGACGGUCUUGCUGUCACUUAUAGAUGGACCCGCGCCGUAUUAGCUAGUUGGUGGGGUAACGGCCUACCAAGGCGACGAUACGUAGCCGACCUGAGAGGGUGAUCGGCCACACUGGAACUGAGACACGGUCCAGACUCCUACGGGAGGCAGCAGUAGGGAAUCUUCCGCAAUGGGCGAAAGCCUGACGGAGCAACGCCGCGUGAGUGAUGAAGGUCUUCGGAUCGUAAAGCUCUGUUGUUAGGGAAG
rnacentral:rRNA from 1 species